GCUUCUCCUCACAUUAACGGCUAUUCUGCCUUCCUUGCACCCACCACCUUGCGCUCCUUCGACCCCUUGCGACCAGCCCCCAAUGGCUUCCCAGCUUGCCGUCCUCUUCACCGCCAUAGCCCUCCUUGCCACCGGCAUCGCCGGAACUCGCUACAAUGGCAUGACCAUGGGCGCCAACCAGUUCUCUACUGAUUCAGACCGCACCGCCUUCUUCAACUGGUGCUUUGUUUCCCUCUACCUCUCGUCCAUCUCUGGCAUCACCAUCCUUGUCUACAUUCAGGACUCUGCUGGCUGGCACUGGGGCUUCGCUCUUUGCACCGCCAUUACUGCCAUUGCCUUCCUCAUCUACCUCUGUGGAAGGCCCUACUACCUCCACUCCAAGCCCAAUGUCAAUAAAAACCAGUUGUUAAGCCUCUGUAGAGAAGGAAAGCUUCUUCUUAGAUUUCUCCCAAUAAUCUCGAGCGGCAUACUGCUCAGUGCUACUAUUUCAGUACAGACAAGCCUGACAGUUCUGCAGGCUCUGGCGAUGGACCGUCACCUAAGCCACGGUCUCUACAUACCUGCUGGAUCUAUGAAUGUCUUUGUGCUUGCUACUGCUGCAGCAUCCAUCACUGUCCUUAAUUGCACCCGGUGUAGACUUUCCCCACUUGGCCGAGUCGCCAUCGGACAUGUUAUCAAUUUGCUCGCCAUGGCAGCAAUGGCCUUGACUGAAUCAAAAAGGCUCGCUGUUUCGACUACGAAGACUUUGUCUGUUCUUUGGCUGGUUCCACCUCUAGUACUUGUAGGAUUUGGAGAAGCUUUUCAUUUCCCUGCUAGUGUUUCAUUUUAUUACCAGGAUUUUCCUGCUUCUCUGAAGAGCAUCGCGACGGGAACAUUUGCUGUUGUUUCUGGGACUGGUUUUUAUGUGAGCUCAGCGAUUAUCACGGUGAUACGCCGCAACACUGUAUGGCUUCGAGAUGAUGUCAAUGAGUCGAGAUUGGAUAAGGUCUACUUAACUCUUGCUGGUUGUUGCUUGCUCAAUUUUGUGUACUUCCUGCUUUGUGCUUGGCUCUACAAAAGGACAACGGAGAAUAGAGGCGUGAAAUUGGAGGAGCUUUAUUAACUUAUAUGUGUUAUAGAAGUGAGCAGCUGCAAUGAGAUCAUCUUCUACUUGGCUCUGUACGAACCGUAUGCCGGACCUCUGUACAGAAGACGCUCGAUCGUCAGAAAAGACGAAUUUGUAGAAUUUUACUGGGGGCAUUUGCAUACAUAUCACCCAAUUCCGAUGUAUUUAUAACCAAAACUUCACCUUUUUCAUGCAUAGAUAUCAUGCAGGCUGGGGAGGCCACCGUUGGCUUAUGAACAAGUGUGUAUCAAAGUAAUGAAAAAAGGAUUCCAACAUCCACAACUUGAAAAUGCACAAAAUCACCACAAUUCUUCACCAUCGCCUCCAAAAGCUGCAAUUAUUCCCCACAAACUAUUACAAUUGCACAAAAAGGUCAAUGAAAGAUUACAUCCAUACCGUCAGAGCAAGGAACUGAACCCUGGAGUUCUUGUUUCGCAGGCGUUUCUUCACAGCCUUGACAAAAGGUUUUG